GGUAGCCGGCUAAAAAGAACCAAUACCCGAACUGAACUCUCGUGGGUCUGCAGUUGAUAUUUCGAAAGCUUGUAGCACCAUGAGAUUCAGCUCCGGUGUUGGUUCGUUUCCUAAGGAGAAGGG
rnacentral:precursor_RNA from 11 species